GGGGGUGACUGGUUUCGACUCGGGACGAUAGUCCCAGGAGAAGCGGGCCGAGGAUCGGGGACAUCUCGUAAACGAUUCCCGAAAACCAAUAAGUGCCGAUUCCAAUCGCACUGACUUCGCUCUCGCUGCCUGAGCAGUGACCGAAGGGUCAGCCCGGACAUGCCUUCGGUCCGGAUCCUGGCCUCAUUUAGAGGGCUUGCUGUGCUGACCUCGUUCUAGGGUCGGCGCGGGACUUUCAUAGAACUGGGCUGGUUCACCACGUGCCGGUGAGAGGGUGACAGCCAAGCAGAACGCCUAACCGGCUGCGCCCGGAGAAGACCUGGGUCACCGCUUGAGGACGCGGGUUCAAUUCCCGCCACCUCCACGA
rnacentral:tmRNA from 1 species